rnacentral:tRNA from 1 species
UAUAUCUUAGUAUACCAAUACAUAAAAAUUUGAAUUUUGAGAGAAUAGUUAAAAUCUAUUAGAUAUAG